rnacentral:rRNA from 1 species
UUUUGUAGAUAUUGGGGGGUCGUGAAGACUCUAUCAGUUAGUAUCUGUUCUCGGAAGGGCUAGGAUUAAUAUUGAAUAAUCAGACAUAGUACGCUAAGGUUGUAUGUCUAAAGGGAAACAGCCCAGAACAAGUGUUAAUAAGGUUCCAAAAUUAUUAUUAAGUGAAAUAAAGGUAGUUUAUGUUUUAUACGAUCAGGAAAUGGGCUUAGAAGCGGCCAUUUUUUAAAGACCUCGUAACAGAGCACUGGUUUAUCCUAAUAUCUAGGAUAAGUUAUUAAGUAUUAUAAAAAAAAAAUAUCCCGGAGAGAUGGGGAGAAGAACCAGACAAGAUAGAGGAAGAAGUUAGAAAAGAGUUUAGAAAAAAGUUCCAGAAUGAAUUAGACUUCUUUUUUUUUUUUAUAAUACUUUAAUUUAUACACGGAUGUAAGCACCGACGAUACAACGGAUCUAAAUAAUAUACCGAGACCUUGUCCAUAUAUAUUAUAUAUAUAUUGUAGAAUGGGUAGCUGUACAAAGGGUAUAUUGUACUUUUUCUGAACAAGAAGGAACAAAAAAAGUUAGUAUAUUGAAAAAUUGUCCAUAAUAUAAUAUAGAUAUCGUGUAAUGGGGUAGCGGAACAUUGGGUAUAUCGCACUUUUUUUCUAGAAAAAAAAAUUAGAUUUCCCAAGUGAAAAUGCUGACAUGAGUAACGAUAAAGGGGACAAAAUAUUAAAAACCCCUCGCCUAAAGCUUAUGGUAUUUAGUUAAAGUAACGGCCUCUAAGUUUAUAAAUUUAUUUAAAAAAAGUUACAUAGUAGAUUAAAAAGAAAGAGAUCUUUUUUCUUACUUAACCUAAAGGAUUAAACGAUGAGCAAAACUCAAGAUACAUAUAAAUAACACUUAUACAUAGUUACUUGUAGCAAUGUUAAAGUGAUAAGUGUUCUGGAAAAUAGUAUCAUGCCCUUAUAUGAAUAAAUAAACUGAAACAGAAUGAACUAAGAUAUAAGGGUAACCGUACCUAAAAACUACCACAAGUAAGCAAGUAGAG